CAAUAGCGUAUAUUAAAGUUGUUGCAGUUAAAAAGCUCGUAGUUGGAUCUUGGGACGUUGGUGAACUCUGUCCACCUAGUGGUGCGAACGAGUUCACCCGUCCUUCCCUUCUGGAUAUCCCCUGUCGGUCUUAAUUGAGCGGCAGGAAAAGGUCGUUGGUUUGUUCUGGCGGCCCGGAUUCCAGAUCGUUUACUUUGAGGAAAUCAGAGUGUUCAAAGCAGGCUUAUGCCUUGAAUUCUGCAGCAUGGGAUAAUGAAAUAGGACUCAGGUUCUGUUUUGUUGGUUUUUAGGACCAGAGUAAUGAUAAAUAGGGGCAGUUGGGGCCAUUAGUAUUAAGAUGUCAGAGGUGAAAUUCUAGGAUUUUCUUAAGACUAACUUCUGCGAAAGCAUUUGGCAAGGAUGCUUUCAUUAA
rnacentral:rRNA from 1 species